CAGGGAUUGCUUGCAAUCCGCUGACGAGUGGCGCACGGGUGCGUAACGCGUAUGCAAUCUGCCUCGUACAGGGGGAUAGCCUUUAGAAAUGAAGAUUAAUACCCCAUGGCAUCCACACGUUGCAUGACGAGUGGAUUAAAGUUUCGGCGGUACGAGAUGAGCAUGCGUCCUAUUAGCUAGUAGGUAUGGUAACGGCAUACCUAGGCGACGAUAGGUAGGGGCCCUGAGAGGGGGAUCCCCCACACUGGUACUGAGACACGGACCAGACUCCUACGGGAGGCAGCAGUGAGGAAUAUUGGACAAUGGGCGGAAGCCUGAUCCAGCCAUGCCGCGUGCAGGAAGACUGCCCUAUGGGUUGUAAACUGCUUUUGUACGGGAAGAAACCUCCCCUCGUGAGGGGAGCUGACGGUACCGUAAGAAUAAGCAUCGGCUAACUCCGUGCCAGCAGCCGCGGUAAUACGGAGGAUGCAAGCGUUAUCCGGAAUCAUUGGGUUUAAAGGGUCCGUAGGUGGACGGUUAAGUCAGAGGUGAAAUCCUGCAGCUCAACUGUAGAAUUGCCUUUGAUACUGGUCGUCUUGAGUCGUUGUGAAGUGGUUAGAAUAUGUAGUGUAGCGGUGAAAUGCAUAGAUAUUACAUAGAAUACCGAUUGCGAAGGCAGAUCACUAACAACGUACUGACACUGAUGGACGAAAGCGUGGGGAGCGAACAGGAUUAGAUACCCUGGUAGUCCACGCCGUAAACGAUGGUCACUAGCUGUUCGGACUUCGGUCUGAGUGGCUAAGCGAAAGUGAUAAGUGACCCACCUGGGGAGUACGUUCGCAAGAAUGAAACUC
rnacentral:rRNA from 1 species